GACGAACGCUGGCGGCGUGCUUAACACAUGCAAGUCGAACGGAAAGGCCCUGCUUUUGUGGGGUGCUCGAGUGGCGAACGUGUGAGUAACACGUGAGUAACCUGCCCUUGACUUUGGGAUAACUUCAGGAAACUGGGGCUAAUACCGGAUAGGAGCUCCUGCUGCAUGGUGGGGGUUGGAAAGUUUCGGCGGUUGGGGAUGGACUCGCGGCUUAUCAGCUUGUUGGUGGGGUAGUGGCUUACCAAGGCUUUGACGGGUAGCCGGCCUGAGGGGGUGACCGGCCAGAUUGGGGCGGGGAUACGGCCCAGACUCGUACGGGAGGCAGGGGUGGGGAAGAGUGGACAAUGGGCGGAAGCCUGAUGCAGCAACGCGGCGUGCGGGAUGAGGGCCUUCGGGUUGUAAACCGCUUUGGCCUGUGACGAAGCGUGAGUGACGGUAAUGGGUAAAGAAGCACCGGCUAACUACGUG
rnacentral:rRNA from 1 species